rnacentral:rRNA from 1 species
GACGAACGCUAACGGAGUGCUUAACACAUGCAAGUCGAACGGAGUGGCGAAACGGUGAGUAACACAUGGGUGACCUGCCCUGCACUUCGGGAUAAGCAUGGGAAACCGGGUCUAAUACCGGAUAGUGUGGGAUGGGCCCGCGUCCUAUCAGCUUGUUGGUGGGGUAAUGGCCUACCAAGGGGGCGACGGGUAGCCGGCCUGAGAAGGUAGACGGCCAGAUUGGGACUGAGACACGGGCGAGACUCCUACGGGAGGCAGAAGGGGAGAAUAUUGCACAAUGGGCGGAAGCCUGAUGCAGCGACGCCGCGUGGGGGAUGACGGCCUUCGGGUUGUAAACUCCUUUAACCAUCGUCGCGGUUGAUGGAGAAGAAGCACCGGCUAACUACGUGCCAGCAGCCGCGGUAAUAC